rnacentral:sRNA from 1 species
UAUUUUCAGCAACGCAUAUUAGAGGAGUAAAGGAAUUAACAACAAAUAUGCUUGUAAAAAAAAAAAAGCUAAAAAAAAUAAGGAAAGGAUUCUUGGAAGAUUUUACUCCUCUAAUAUGCGUUGCUGAAAAUA